UCCGGUUUGUCACCGGCAGUCCCCUGUGAGUGCCCGGCCGAACCGCUGGCAACACAGGGCGGGGGUUGCGCUCGUUGCGGGACUUAACCCAACAUCUCACGACACGAGCUGACGACAACCAUGCAGCACCUGUCACCGCGCUCCCCCGAAGGGGCACCCCAGCCUUUCGGCCAGGUUCGCGGUGAUGUCAAGCCCAGGUAAGGUUCUUCGCGUUGCUUCGAAUUAAACCACAUGCUCCACCGCUUGUGCGGGCCCCCGUCAAUUCCUUUGAGUUUCAGCCUUGCGGCCGUACUCCCCAGGCGGGGUGCUUAGUGCGUUAGCUCCGGCACGGAAGGGGUCGAUACCUCCCACACCUAGCACCCAUCGUUUACGGCGUGGACUAC
rnacentral:misc_RNA from 1 species